GACGAACGCUGGCGGCGUGCUUAACACAUGCAAGUCGAACGGUAAGGCCCUUCGGGGUACACGAGUGGCGAACGGGUGAGUAACACGUGGGUGAUCUGCCCUGCACUUCGGGAUAAGCCUGGGAAACUGGGUCUAAUACCGGAUAGGACUCCGGACUGCAUGGUCUGGGGUGGAAAGCUUUUGCGGUGUGGGAUGGGCCCGCGGCCUAUCAGCUUGUUGGUGGGGUGAUGGCCUACCAAGGCGACGACGGGUAGCCGGCCUGAGAGGGUGACCGGCCACACUGGGACUGAGAUGCGGCCCAGACUCCUACGGGAGGCAGCAGUGGGAAAUAUGGCACAAUGGGCGCAAGCCUGAUGCAGCGACGCCGCGUGAGGGAUGACGGCCUUCGGGUUGUAAACCUCUUUCAGCAUCGACGAAGCGAAAGGGACGGUAGGUGCAGAAGAAGGACCGGCCAACUACGUGCCAGCAGCCGCCGUAA
rnacentral:rRNA from 1 species